AUGGUUUUCCCAGGAAGGGGAAGGAUCCGUGUCGAUGCUGACAGUGUUCAGAGGGUAUUUGAUCUCCCAAACAGGGGUCAAAAAGUCAGAUAUUUAGUUGACAAGGAUGCCACUAGGAGAUUCAGACAGGCUUUCAACAUACCUGGAAAUUCUCAUCCCCAGAUCACUACAUGGCUCAAGAUGAUUGAGGAUAUGGCUGAAAGAACGGAUGACACAUUCUUUAUGGCCUGGCUUGCGGUUGCCUUUAGCACUUUUCUAGCACCAACCACAGCCUUGAAGCUCAGCCCAAAGUGCUACGGACUUGUGCUAGAUCAUGAAAUGAUCAAGAACACAAACAUCUGCCUCUUUGUAGCAGAACACAUUAAUGAAGCUUUCCGAAACAUGGACCAGGAGAAGCAAACUGUCUGCUGCUGCUUGUAUCACUUGAUGGUGAUCAAGAAGGAUACCAUCUCUCUUGGUGUGUUCGGCAAAUUACAACUUAAAGAGGAGUAUAGAGGCACGAAGCAGACACCACUGUUUGGUGGAAUUUUGCAAGCUGAAGCAUUCGUGGCAUCCAAGUUACCAAUAACCUAUAAUCCACAGGUUGGCACCUUCAUUGAAGUAGUUGCCAAGAUCGAUGACGAGGAACCGGAUAUUGAUCCUUACGUACAGCAGCCAUCAAUGCAAACCGGGGCGUCACGCCGUGCUCCAAAAAGAAAGAGACGGGGGUCAACUAUACAAGAAGAAGAAGAGUUUGUUGAGGAUGAGUCAGAAGAAGAUGAGGAAAUGGAAGCAGCGAUAGAUGUUGAUGAUGACGGGGACACAGACGCGGAUGAAUCAGAGGAGGAGGACAAGGAUGAGGAUGACAAUGAAGAAGAUGCAAAGGAGGAGGAGGAGGAAGAGGAGGAGGAGGAGGAGGAGGAGGAGGAGGAGGAGGACAAACAAGAAGAGGAAAAAGGAGAGGAGGAGGAGGAGGAAGAAGAUAGUGAGGCAGAGGAGGAGGAAGAAGAAGGUGAGGCCGAAGAGGGGGACGGGGAUAAAGGCGCACCAGUUGAUGGCAGUGAGAGGGGAGAAGACAAAGGCGCAUCAAUUGAUGGCAGUGAGAGGGAAGAAGACGACGAUGAAGAAGACGAGGACGGUUAUGGUGAUGAUAAAGGGGGAUCCAAUGAAGGCAGCGACAGCAGCGAUGAUGAUGAUGAUGACAACGCCCCUGGUUCUGGUGGUACAGGCGGCAACACAUCCAGGAGGACUAGCACUUCUGCCACCCCUACCAGCAGCAGCAAUUCAUUGAGUAGCAGGAGCACACUACAGAUGUUAAUCGACAAAACUUGCUAG
rnacentral:rRNA from 1 species